AACAUCCUUCAAAUUAUAGACAUCAGUAGACCCUGUUAAAGAGUUGAUCUCCAAUCCAGGCAGAACAAAACCUGAUGUCCAGCAUUAGAAAUCGUGUUGAUGGGAUAGUGCUAGCAAGCACUCAACAAAACAACACACUGAUGUAAUGGCCAAUUACACAGUCUACAAAAUAAUCCCAGGUGCCACAACACUCUGGGUUGCACUAGUGCCAAACACCUACUUACACUAGCUAGCGUUGUUUUACGUACCAAGGUAUCAGGUCACUACACCUAGCACGGAAGGAUGCGCAUUUAAAUAUUACUUUCUUUAUACUGAUAAUGAUUAAAAUAAUAAGAAAAACAUAAGGUAAAACAAUGCUUAGUGAAAACUCUCACCUUUAUAAUUUGACAGGUUUGAUAGUUCAAUAAAGGCCCUAACCACAACACUAGAGAAAAGUUACGGGAGAACAAGUGGACACUACUCCACGACUGUUUUCGAGUAAAGUUACCAUCGAACUGAAUUCUAAAAAGGAUCAUAUUAGAAAUAUCCCUUAAAAGAAUUCUGGUAAACAUCUGUCAUCGCCUAUGUUUUUGAGAACUUGUAAAUACCAACAUUCCCACACAUUAUAACUUUCUCCGAAGUGACCUUUUUACCCGCAUAAGUACUAGGGGGCUUAUCUCAGAAACUGUGGAGUUCCGGGAGUUGAGCCAAUAGAGACUUUGAAUUAAGGGACCAAAAUAUAUAACAUACUACAAUAUCUACAAGCUCUGAGAGGGGUCUUUUUUAUUUGAGAUGCAAUAUUUAUUGACAACCUUAAAUCUCACCUCAUAUUAUACUUUUUUGUUUUUUUAUUUAAAUAAAGCAUUUUUUGCAAAAAAAU